rnacentral:rRNA from 1 species
GACGAACGCUGGCGGCGUGCUUAACACAUGCAAGUCGAACGGAAAGGCCCUGCUUUUGUGGGGUGCUCGAGUGGCGAACGGGUGAGUAACACGUGAGUAACCUGCCCUUGACUUUGGGAUAACUUCAGGAAACUGGGGCUAAUACCGGAUAAGAGCUCCUGCUGCAUGGUGGGGGUUGGAAAGUUUCGGCGGUUGGGGAUGGACUCGCGGCUUAUCAGCUUGUUGGUGGGGUAGUGGCUUACCAAGGCUUUGACGGGUAGCCGGCCUGAGAGGGUGACCGGCCACAUUGGGACUGAGAUACGGCCCAGACUCCUACGGGAGGCAGCAGUGGGGAAUAUUGCACAAUGGGCGGAAGCCUGAUGCAGCAACGCCGCGUGCGGGAUGACGGCCUUCGGGUUGUAAACCGCUUUCGCCUGUGACGAAGCGUGAGUGACGGUAAUGGGUGAAGAAGCACCGGCUAACUACGUG